rnacentral:rRNA from 1 species
CACAAGCAGCGGAGCGUGUGGUUUAAUUCGAUGAUACGCGAAAACCUUACCUGGGUUUGACAUGCAAGUGGUAGGAAUCUGAAAGGGGACCGACCUUCGGGGAGCUUGCACAGGUGCUGCAUGGCUGUCGUCAGCUCGUGUCGUGAGAUGUUCGGUUAAGUCCGCUAACGAGCGCAACCCUCGUCGUGUGUUACAAGUGUCACGCGAGACCGCCGACGUCAAGUCGGAGGAAGGUGGGGAUGAUGUCAAGUCAGCAUGGCCUUUAUAUCCAGGGCUACACACACGCUACAAUGGUCAACACAAUAGGUCGCGAAACCGCGAGGUGGAGCCAAUCCUCAAAGUUGGCCUCAGUUCAGAUUGUAGGCUGCAACUCGCCUGCAUGAAGAUGGAGUUGCUAGUAACCGCAGGUCAGCACUACUGCGGUGAAUACGUUCCCGGGGUUU